rnacentral:rRNA from 1 species
AUUGAACGCUGGCGGCAGGCCUAACACAUGCAAGUCGAGCGAGCGGCGGACGGGUGAGAAACGCCCGGGAAACCGUCUGAUGGAGGGGGAGAACAACGGGAGACGGUAGCGAAUAUCGCAUACCAUCAUAGGGGGCCAGAUGGGAUUUGCUGGUAGUGGGGGUAACGGCGCACCUAGGCGACGAUCUCUAGCUGGUCUGAGAGGAGGACCAGCCACACGGGAACUGAGACACGGUCCGGACUCCUACGGGAGGCAGCAGUGGGGAAUAUUGCACAAUGGGCGCAAGCCUGAUGCAGCCAUGCCGCGUGAGUGAAGAAGGCCUUCGGGUUGUAAAGCACUUUCGGCGGGGAGGCGUUACCCGCAGAAGAAGCACCGGCUAACUCCGUGCCAGCAGCCGCGGUAAUUC